ensembl:lncRNA
CAGGUAGUCUAGUGACUCCAGUUCAGAUAUUUGUCUAUUCAACAGCAGCAGCAGUAGUCCUCUCUCUCCUCUCUACCCAAACUCCCAGUCUCAGCACAGGCUAUGUCUCUCGCUCAGUGUUCAGUCCUUCAGCGCCAUGUUUCCGCACUCCGUGUCUCUUGUCCACGGGUGUGUCCCCACAGGUGUGUGUGGUGUCCUGUGGGGGGAAGAGGAGGGGUGAGGAUGUCACAGAGACUCUCCUCUUCUCUCUUACCUCCAUGUUCACUCUGUUACACCUAAACAGAGAGAAUAUAGACAGUGUUAUGGGUCAGGCAGAGAGAAUAUAGACAGUGGGUCAGGCAGAGAGAAUAUAGACAGUGGUGGGUCAGGCAGAGAGAAUAUAGACAGUUAUGGGUCAGGCAGAGAGAAUAUAGACAGUGG